rnacentral:rRNA from 1 species
AGUGGCGAAGGCGGCUACCUGGUCUGCAACUGACGCUGAGACUCGAAAGCAUGGGUAGCGAACAGGAUUAGAUACCCUGGUAGUCCAUGCCGUAAACGAUGAGUGCUAGGUGUUGGAGGGUUUCCGCCCUUCAGUGCCGGAGCUAACGCAUUAAGCACUCCGCCUGGGGAGUACGACCGCAAGGUUGAAACUCAAAGGAAUUGACGGGGGCCCGCACAAGCGGUGGAGCAUGUGGUUUAAUUCGAAGCUACGCGAAGAACCUUACCAGGUCUUGACAUCUUGCGCCAACCCUAGAGAUAGGGCGUUUCCUUCGGGAACGCAAUGACAGGUGGUGCAUGGUCGUCGUCAGCUCGUGUCGUGAGAUGUUGGGUUAAGUCCCGCAACGAGCGCAACCCUUGUUACUAGUUGCCAGCAUUAAGUUGGGCACUCUAGUGAGACUGCCGGUGACAAACCGGAGGAAGGUGGGGACGACGUCAGAUCAUCAUGCCCCUUAUGACCUGGGCUACACACGUGCUACAAUGGACGGUACAACGAGUCGCGAACUCGCGAGGGCAAGCAAAUCUCUUAAAACCGUUCUCAGUUCGGACUGCAGGCUGCAACUCGCCUGCACGAAGUCGGAAUCGCUAGUAAUCGCGGAUCAGCAUGCCGCGGUGAAUACGUUCCCGGGCCUUGUACACACCGCCCGUCACACCAUGAGAGUUUGUAACACCCAAAGUCGGUGGGGUAACCUUUUAGGAGCCAGCCGCCUAAGGUGG